GUGAAAAUUGUUACUCUUGUCUUCCAAUGCUUCUACAACUGUUCACUUUUGUUAUCUCACCAUCCAGAGGUCCUACUCUGCAUUUACAUCAACCUUUGGUGUUCUUGACCUCCUGAAAUCCUAAUACCACAAAUGAAGAUGUAAGAUAUCUCAUUGCAAAAAGUGAAUGAGGAGGAGAGGGGCAAAGAGGAGCAGAGAAGAAAUAGAUGAUCGUAUUUCCAGUAGUUCUCCUGCCACAGAGAAGAAUGAAUUAAACAUGAGGCAAGAAGGUCACGGAGUUAGGUGUAUGAAUUUCAUCAGAUUGCCUGAACUGCAACAAGAUUUCAACAAAAAUUGGCAGAUGAUGAAACUGACAAGAGAGGUUAAAUAACCACAGACACUCAUCUAUUCAGUGGCAGAGUCAGCAUCUGAAACCCUAUUUUAUGUGCUUUGUCACCAUUUUACCUGCCAUCAUUUGCCCUUUGUGACAACUAUGAAAGGCAGAAGAAAAAUGGCAAAAACCCAAAGAGAAAUUUCAAAGUAGGAAAAGUUUGCCUUUGAUGGCUUUUUUGGUUCUUGGAAAAACAACCUCUCCCACUUUUGGACUCCUAAAACUAUCCUCUAUUCCUACAGAAGAAGAAAGAAUCUGCUAUCCUCAUUUGAAUUUUGAUGAAAACUUGUUCUAAUAAGCUAGCCCUUCCAGUUUGUAUUCACAAGUUUGAACUUUUCAACUCUCAAGUGGAUUUAAAAGUCUCUCUUCAUGUAAAGGAAUUAUAAGCACCAAGUUUUAAGCAGUGCUGUGAUUUUUAGAAAGGGGUCUUCCUUAGUCUGCAAACCCACAGCACUCUGAAGACUGGUCUGAGCCAGUUCUGCUUUAAGGAUUUGGCAGUGAAGGACAGACGCUAAGUUAGCCGAGAACGGUUGCUGGUCUGCAGCCCAUAGGUGCUUUACUGAUCCCCAAGAAAGGGGCAAAUGCGGCUGAAGGUUUUAGAAGGCUAGUUCUCAGGAGCCGUAAGAUUCAUGAAAGCCAACAUGAGCACCACCCAACUGAGCAAAAAUCUGUCCAAAUGUCCAGGACAGGGAGGUACCCGAUCCUGUCUGUCCCCCUUGCACUCUCCCCUGGACAACCCACUAUAUAGAUAAUCAUCUCCUGGUCCAGAUACCCUAUUAUUUAGUAUCUCAUUAUGAAGAGUUUAUUUUCAAGAUCCAGAAUGCAGAGAGAGACAAAUUAACAGGAUUUUCUACUCCAAAAUCCUUCAAGUUUAAAGGUCAAACAGCUAAAAAGAGGAUUAGCAAACUAAAAGAUUAGAGAUGAAAGAGAGAACUGCAGCCCUGGAGAACUGUCAGUGGGAACAAGAGAACCCCAGCCAGUGGGACAUGAGCUCCAGAAAGUGUGUGCCAUUGGUAGGGGGAGACGAGGAAAAACUGAUGACUGAUCCUUGAAAACUAACUAUAACAGAGAAGAGAACAAUGCUUAGUCUCACAGGUUAAAAAAUGAUGCUAGUAAUAGUCCUCUUAAUGAGCUGCUUCGCAUGUGUGCCUAAUCAAACAUGCUGGGAAAUAAUUGUAAUGCAUAUCAUGAAAUUUGUGUUACAUUAACAUUGCUAGGUGACGGGUUGUAAUUAGUAUUUUGGUGGUGAACAUGAUGUAAUCUAUGCAGAAAUAGAAGUAUAAUGAUGUA